rnacentral:rRNA from 1 species
GAUGAACGCUAGCGAUAGGCUUAACACAUGCAAGUCGAGGGGCAGCAUGGUCUUAGCUUGCUAAGACUGAUGGCGACCGGCGCACGGGUGCGUAACGCGUAUGCAACUUGCCUCACAGAGGGGGAUAACCCGUCGAAAGACGGACUAAUACCGCGUACACUCCAUCUUGGGCAUCCAAGGUAGAGGAAAUGAAAUUCGCUGUGAGAUAGGCAUGCGUCCCAUUAGCUAGUUGGUGAGGUAACGGCUCACCAAGGCGACGAUGGGUAGGGGAACUGAGAGGUUGAACCCCACACUGGUACUGAGACACGGACCAGACUCCUACGGGAGGCAGCAGUGAGGAAUAUUGGUCAAUGGGCGAGAGCCUGAACCAGCCAAGUCGCGUGAAGGAUGACUGUCUUAUGGAUUGUAAACUUCUUUUAUACGGGAAUAACAAGAGUCACGGGUGACUCCCUGCAUGUACCGUAUGAAUAAGCAUCGGCUAACUCCGUG